CGGACGGGUGAGUAACACGUGGAUAACCUACCUAUAAGACUGGGAUAACUUCGGGAAACCGGAGCUAAUACCGGAUAAUAUAUUGAACCGCAUGGUUCAAUAGUGAAAGACGGUUUUGCUGUCACUUAUAGAUGGAUCCGCGCCGCAUUAGCUAGUUGGUAAGGUAACGGCUUACCAAGGCAACGAUGCGUAGCCGACCUGAGAGGAUGAUCGGCCACACUGGAACUGAGACACGGUCCAG
rnacentral:rRNA from 1 species